rnacentral:lncRNA from 1 species
UCUCCUCCCCCCAGCUCCCACGCCUACCCCGGGGCCCCACCCAGCCGGAAAAGAGCCCAGAGUCUUCCAGGCCCGUGGCCUGACUGGGAAGGAGCUGCGAGGAAGCUCAGGCCGGCCGGGUGGAGGCCCUAGGGAAGGAAGGGCCCAGGGGGCAGAAGAGGAUGCACCCAGGAUGGGGAUGGGCAGCCGAAGGGCAAAGGAGGAGCCCAACAUCCUGGGUUGGAGUUUGGAUGCAGCCCCAGCUGUGUGACCCCGGGGCCAAUCCCAAUCCAUCUCUGAACCCCACCCGCUGCAGAGGGCUUCCCCCCACAACAUCCAAAGAGUGUCUUUGAGGGGCUGGAGCAGAAACAUUGCCUCUCAGAUCCAAGACCCUGUUUGGGGUGGCACAAGCCUUCUGAGGAAAUGCAGGCACAGAGGAAGACAUUCAUUCUUUCAAAAUCAUUUGUUCAACCAAUGCAGCGGCCUACUACGAGUGUGACAUAG